rnacentral:lncRNA from 1 species
ACAAGGAACAAGGGGCAAGGAGACAGAGAGAGAUGGGGAAAUGAUCCCUGAAUGGAAAGGAAUGCUAUGCACACUUUUUGGAUACAGAAAGUGAGAUUCAGAGGGGUUAAACAGCUUUCCUGAAGCCACACAGCGAGAUUGUCGAUCUGAACUGAAGAUUGUUUGACAUCAAAGCUCAUUUCUUUCCCUAAAUGUCAGCAUUCUUUCCUGACUUAUUAAUUUGAUUUCUGUCCUCCCCUCAUGGAAGUUAAUUAAAGGAAUGCGAGAACCUUUU